rnacentral:rRNA from 1 species
CCUACGGGAGGCAGCAGUGAGGAAUAUUGGUCAAUGGACGAGAGUCUGAACCAGCCAAGUAGCGUGAAGGAUGACUGCCCUAUGGGUUGUAAACUUCUUUUAUAUGGGAAUAAAAUGUUCCACGUGUGGGAUUUUGUAUGUACCAUAUGAAUAAGGAUCGGCUAACUCCGUGCCAGCAGCCGCGGUAAUACGGAGGAUCCGAGCGUUAACCGGAUUUAUUGGGUUUAAAGGGAGCGUAGGUGGAUUGUUAAGUCAGUUGUGAAAGUCUGGGGCUCAACCGUAAAAUUGCAGUUGAAACUGGCAGUCUUGAGUGCAGUAGAGGUGGGCGGAAUUCGUGGUGUAGCGGUGAAAUGCUUAGAUAUCACGAAGAACUCCGAUUGCGAAGGCAGUUCACUGGACUGCAACUGACACUGAGGCUCGAAAGUGUGGGUAUCAAACAGGAUUAGAUACCCGAGUAGUC